rnacentral:rRNA from 1 species
AACAACUUUUAGCAACGGAUCUCUUGGCUCUCGCAUCGAUGAAGAACGCAGCGAAAUGCGAUAAGUAAUGUGAAUUGCAGAAUUCAGUGAAUCAUCGAAUCUUUGAACGCACCUUGCGCUCCUUGGUAUUCCGAGGAGCAUGCCUGUUUGAGUGUCAUU